rnacentral:rRNA from 1 species
GGCUCUGAGUGAACGCUGGCGGUAGGCCUAACACAUGCAAGUCGAACGGCAGCACAGAGGAGCUUGCUCCUUGGGUGGCGAGUGGCGGACGGGUGAGGAAUACAUCGGAAUCUACUCUGUCGUGGGGGAUAACGUAGGGAAACUUACGCUAAUACCGCAUACGACCUACGGGUGAAAGCAGGGGAUCUUCGGACCUUGCGCGAUUGAAUGAGCCGAUGUCGGAUUAGCUAGUUGGCGGGGUAAAGGCCCACCAAGGCGACGAUCCGUAGCUGGUCUGAGAGGACGAUCAGCCACACUGGAACUGAGACACGGUCCAGACUCCUACGGGAGGCAGCAGUGGGGAAUAUUGGACAAUGGGCGCAAGCCUGAUCCAGCCAUACCGCGUGGGUGAAGAAGGCCUUCGGGUUGUAAAGCCCUUUUGUUGGGAAAGAAAUCCAGCCGGCUAAUACCUGGUUGGGAUGACGGUACCCAAAGAAUAAGCACCGGCUAACUUCGUGCCAGCAGCCGCGGUAAUACGAAGGGUGCAAGCGUUACUCGGAAUUACUGGGCGUAAAGCGUGCGUAGGUGGUUAUUUAAGUCCGUUGUGAAAGCCCUGGGCUCAACCUGGGAACUGCAGUGGAUACUGGAUGACUAGAAUGUGGUAGAGGGUAGCGGAAUUCCUGGUGUAGCAGUGAAAUGCGUAGAGAUCAGGAGGAACAUCCAUGGCGAAGGCAGCUACCUGGACCAACAUUGACACUGAGGCACGAAAGCGUGGGGAGCAAACAGGAUUAGAUACCCUGGUAGUCCACGCCCUAAACGAUGCGAACUGGA